AUCUUUUUAGUAUAGCGCAAAUAUGCGUGGCUUCCAACCACGGGACCUUGGUUUAACCCCAGGAAAAGAUA
rnacentral:tRNA from 1 species